GGCGGCGUGCCUAACAAUGCAAGUCGAACGUCCUCGCACUUUUCGGAGUGAGAGGGAGUGGCGGACGGGUGAGUAGCACGUGGGUGACCUACCCGCAAGUGAGGGAUACCGGCGAGAAAUCGCCGACAAGACCGCAUAGGCUUCUUUCUUCGCUGAGAGAAGCAAAGCCUUGUUUUUCGGAACGAGGUGCUUGAGGAUGGGCCCGCGGCCGAUUAGCUGGUUGGUGGGGUAACGGCCUACCAAGGCGACGAUCGGUAGCUGGUCUGAGAGGACGAUCAGCCACACUGGGAUUGAGAACGGCCCAGACUCCUACGGGGGGCAGCAGUGAGGAAUUUUCGGCAAUGGAGGCAACUCUGACCGAGCAACGCCGCGUGCAGGAGGACGCUUUUCGGAGUGUAAACUGCUUUUCCCAGGGAAGAGAGCGGACGGUACCUGGGGAAGAAGCCCCGGCUAACUACGUGCCAGCAGCCGCGGUAAUACGUAGGGGGCAAGCGUUGUCCGGAGUUACUGGGCGUAAAGCGCCCGCAGGCGGUGCGAUGCGUGUGGGGUGACAGCUCCUCGCUUAACGAGGGGAGCGCCUCGCAAACGGUGGCACUUGAGGGCCAGAGGGGACAUGGAACUCCGGGUGGAGCGGUGAAAU
rnacentral:rRNA from 1 species